CUGCGGCAGCGAACGUAUCACUUAAAGCGAUUCAGCGGGUUACGAUUGACGGAGCGAAGCGACGUCAAAGCGUAUACAAAGUCGAGUCGGUUUAAGGAUACGUUUGUUGGGUAGGGGAGCGUUCUGUAAGCCUGUGAAGGUGUGUCGUGAGGCAUGCUGGAGGUAUCAGAAGUGCGAAUGCUGACAUAAGUAACGAUAAAGCGGGUGAAAAGCCCGCUCGCCGGAAGACCAAGGGUUCCUGUCCAACGUUAAUCGGGGCAGGGUGAGUCGACCCCUAAGGCGAGGCCGAAAGGCGUAGUCGAUGGGAAACGGGUUAAUAUUCCCGUACUUGGUGUUACUGCGAAGGGGGGACGGAGAAGGCUAUGUUGGCCGGGCGACGGUUGUCCCGGUUUAAGCGUGUAGGUGUGUGUUCCAGGUAAAUCCGGUUCACUUUAACACUGAGGCGUGACGACGAGGCACUACGGUGCUGAAGCAACAAAUGCCCUGCUUCCAGGAAAAGCCUCUAAGCAUCAGGUAACAUCAAAUCGUACCCCAAACCGACACAGGUGGUCAGGUAGAGAAUACCAAGGCGCUUGAGAGAACUCGGGUGAAGGAACUAGGCAAAAUGGUGCCGUAACUUCGGGAGAAGGCACGCUGACACGUAGGUGAAGUGAUUUACUCAUGGAGCUGAAGUCAGUCGAAGAUACCAGCUGGCUGCAACUGUUUAUUAAAAACACAGCACUGUGCAAACACGAAAGUGGACGUAUACGGUGUGACGCCUGCCCGGUGCCGGAAGGUUAAUUGAUGGGGUCAGCGCAAGCGAAGCUCCUGAUCGAAGCCCCGGUAAACGGCGGCCGUAACUAUAACGGUCCUAAGGUAGCGAAAUUCCUUGUCGGGUAAGUUCCGACCUGCACGAAUGGCGUAAUGAUGGCCAGGCUGUCUCCACCCGAGACUCAGUGAAAUUGAACUCGCUGUGAAGAUGCAGUGUACCCGCGGCAAGACGGAAAGACCCCGUGAACCUUUACUAUAGCUUGACACUGAACAUUGAGCCUUGAUGUGUAGGAUAGGUGGGAGGCUUUGAAGUGUGGACGCCAGUCUGCAUGGAGCCGACCUUGAAAUACCACCCUUUAAUGUUUGAUGUUCUAACGUGGACCCGUGAUCCGGGUUGCGGACAGUGUCUGGUGGGUAGUUUGACUGGGGCGGUCUCCUCCUAAAGAGUAACGGAGGAGCACGAAGGUUGGCUAAUCCUGGUCGGACAUCAGGAGGUUAGUGCAAUGGCAUAAGCCAGCUUGACUGCGAGCGUGACGGCGCGAGCAGGUGCGAAAGCAGGUCAUAGUGAUCCGGUGGUUCUGAAUGGAAGGGCCAUCGCUCAACGGAUAAAAGGUACUCCGGGGAUAACAGGCUGAUACCGCCCAAGAGUUCAUAUCGACGGCGGUGUUUGGCACCUCGAUGUCGGCUCAUCACAUCCUGGGGCUGAAGUAGGUCCCAAGGGUAUGGCUGUUCGCCAUUUAAAGUGGUACGCGAGCUGGGUUUAGAACGUCGUGAGACAGUUCGGUCCCUAUCUGCCGUGGGCGCUGGAGAACUGAGGGGGGCUGCUCCUAGUACGAGAGGACCGGAGUGGACGCAUCACUGGUGUUCGGGUUGUCAUGCCAAUGGCACUGCCCGGUAGCUAAAUGCGGAAGAGAUAAGUGCUGAAAGCAUCUAAGCACGAAACUUGCCCCGAG
rnacentral:rRNA from 1 species